rnacentral:rRNA from 1 species
CCUACGGGGGGCAGCAGUAGGGAAUAUUGCUCAAUGGGGGAAACCCUGAAGCAGCAACGCCGCGUGGAGGAUGAAGGUUUUCUGAUUGUAAACUCCUUUUGUUAGAGAAGAUAAUGACGGUAUCUAACUACUACUCACCGGCUAACUCCGUUCCAGCAGCCGCGGUACUACGGAGGGUGCAAGCGUUACUCGGAAUCACUGGGCGUAAAGCGCGCGUAGGCGGGAUAGUAAGUCAGAUGUGAAAUCCUAUGGCUUAACCAUAGAACUGCAUUUGAAACUGUUAGUCUAGAGUAUGGGAGAGGUAGGUGGAAUUCUUGGUGUAGGGGUAAAAUCCGUAGAGAUCAAGAGGAAUACUCAUUGCGAAGGCGACCUGCUAGAACAUAACUGAUGCUGAGGCGCGAAAGCGUGGGGAGCAAACAGGAUUAGAUACCCGAGUAGUC